GCGGGAGUAGUACAGUGGUAGUACGUCUCCUUGCCAAGGAGAAGGUCGCGGGUUCGAGUCCCGUCUCCCGCUCCA
rnacentral:tRNA from 1 species